AUUGAACGCUGGCGGCAUGCCUUACACAUGCAAGUCGAACGGUAACGGGCCUUCGGGUGCCGACGAGUGGCGAACGGGUGAGUAAUGUAUCGGAACGUACCUUUCAGUGGGGGAUAACGUAGCGAAAGUUACGCUAAUACCGCAUAUUCUGUGUGCAGGAAAGCAGGGGAUCGCAAGACCUUGCGCUGAUUGAGCGGCCGAUAGCAGAUUAGCUAGUUGGUGAGGUAAAGGCUCACCAAGGCGACGAUCUGUAGCGGGUCUGAGAGGAUGAUCCGCCACACUGGAACUGAGACACGGUCCAGACUCCUACGGGAGGCAGCAGUGGGGAAUUUUGGACAAUGGGGGCAACCCUGAUCCAGCCAUGCCGCGUGAGUGAAGAAGGCCUUCGGGUUGUAAAGCUCUUUCGGCCGGGAAGAAAUCGUAUCAGCUAAUACCUGGUGCGGAUGACGGUACCGGCAUAAGAAGCACCGGCUAACUACGUGCCAGCCGCCGCAGUAAGAC
rnacentral:rRNA from 1 species